AACGAACGCUGGCGGCGCGCUUAACACAUGCAAGUCGAACGAGAAGGCGUAGCAAUACGCUUGUAAAGUGGCGAACGGGUGAGGAAUACAUGGGUAACCUACCCUCGAGUGGGGGAUAACCCGCCGAAAGGCGGGCUAAUACCGCGUACGCUUCCGAUCUUGCGGGAUCGGAAGGAAAGCUGUCCCAAGGGGAUGGCGCUCAAGGAUGGGCUCAUGUCCUAUCAGCUUGUUGGUAGGGAACGGCCUACCAAGGCAUCGACGGGUAGCUGGUCUGAGAGGACGAUCAGCCACACUGGCACUGCGACACGGGCCAGACUCCUACGGGAGCAGCAGUGAGGAAUAUUGCGCAAUGGGCGAAAGCCUGACGCAGCGACGCCGCGUGGGGGAUGAAGGUCUUCGGAUUGUAAACCCCUUUCGGGAGGGAAGACGGCCUUAGACAACUAAGGCGGACGGUACCUCCAGAAGCAGCCACGGCUAACUUCGU
rnacentral:rRNA from 1 species